rnacentral:rRNA from 1 species
UGUAGCAAUACAAGGCGUACUGCUCAGUAACACGUAGCUAACAUGCCGUUUCGCGGGGGAUAAUAGCGGGAAACUGCUGAUAAUACCCCAUAGGUGAGGGAUGCUGGAAUGCACCCUUGCUCAAAGCUUCGGCACGAAACGAUUGGGCUGCGGCGGAUUAGGCUGUUGUUGUGGUAAAAGCGCAACAAACCGAUAAUCCGUAUGGGUCAUGAGAGUGAUAGCCCAGAGAUGGUCUCUGAGACAUGAGACCAGGCCUUACGAGGCGCAGCAGGCGCGAAACCUUCUCAAUGCGCGAAAGCGUGAAGAGGGAACCCUGAGUGGUGCAGGUUUUACCUGCAUCUUUUGUUUACUGCAAAUUGCACGCCAGUGCGGAAGCACUGGCGGUUUGUUUAGGUAGGCGAAUAAGGGGUGGGCAAUACGGGUGCCAGCCGCCAUGCUGUUAAUGUAUUUUUCAUUGCAGUAGCGGCACGGUAAACGGUAAUACCCGAGCCCCAAGUAGUGACCACGUUUAUUGGGCCUAAAGCACGCGUAGCCGGGUCAACGGGUCCUUGGUGAAAUCCAGUAGUAAACAUAUGUGCAAGCACAUAUUGUAACAUGCUUCGCAUAUUACAAUAUUGGAAUGGCCAGGGAUACUCCUGACCUAGGGACCGGGAGAGGUCUGGGGUACGUUGGAGGUAGGGGUAAAAUCCUUUAAUCUCCCACGGACCACCUGUGGCGAAGGCGCCAGACUAGAACGGAUCCGACGGUGAGGCGUGAAAGCUAGGGGAGCGAUCGGGAUUAGAUAGAACCUCUUCUUGAAAGAAAAGCUUCAGCAAAAGAACGUAAUAAGAAAAGGUUUCCUAAACACCCCGGUAGUCCUAGCCGUAAACGAUGCCCGCUUGGUGUUGCUGGACCUUAGGGGUUCUGCAGUGCCGCAGCGAAGGCGUUAAGCGGGCCGCCUGGGGAGUAUACAACAGGUAUUCCUGUUGUAGCCCAAACGUUCGCAAGGAUGAAACUUAAAGGAAUUGGCGGGGGAGCACUACCAGAGGUGGAGGCUGUGGUUCAAUUGGAUUCAACGCCGGGAACCUCACCAGGGAAGACAGCAGGAUGAUGGUCAGCCUGAAGGGCUUACCUGACAAGCUGAGAGGAGCUGCAUGGCCGUCGUCAGUUCGCGGCGUGAGCUGUCUUGUUAAGUCAAGAAACGAACGAGACCCACGCCGUUAUUUGCUACGUUUCUCUCCGGAGAAACAGCACUAUAGCGGGACCGCUGGUGCUAAAUCAGAGGAAGGAGUGGUCAACGGCAGGUCAGUAUGGCCCAAAUUCCCUUGGGCAACACACGGCCUACAAUGCACAGGACAAUGGGAUGCAACACCGUAAGGUGAAGCCAACCUCUUAAACCUGUGCUUAGUUCGGAUCGAGGACUGCAACUCGUUCUCGUGAAGCCGGAAUCUCUAGUAAGCGAGGGUCAUCAUAGCAGCAAGUUGAGAUGAUUGCUGGGCCAGAUGCAAUGUCAAGUAGAUGAAAUUAAGAAGUGGCUUGACUUGAAUACUUGUUUUUGCAUUCAGCAGCUCUAAGAUGAGCUUGUUGUUGUGGAAUCUCUCGCUGAAUACGUCCCUGCUCCUUGCACACACCGCCCGUCAAGCCAAUCGAAUGGGGUUUUGGUGAGGCCU